UCCCUAACAAAACCCCUUUGCCUUCAUCCUUAUGGACUUUCCAUGUUUGAGUUUAAAAUUCUUCAAAUCUCCAACUAUGAUCCAUAUCUUAGUUCCAUGCCUUGCUAUUUGAUAACCUUUGUCCAAAAUUUUCAUUUCAAGCCAUCCCAUAUCAGUCCUGUGGUAAACAAGAACAAAACUCCAACAUGAUUACAUCAUAUACACAAUCUACCAAGCUUUGACAGUCAUAUAAACAUAAAUACAAUUGAAUCAUCCAAAUAACCAAAACAUGAACAUAAUUGGCAUAACAUUAGAACCAAAACAUGUGGCAUCCCAAUUAGCAUGGCAUUACAUUUAAACAUCCA
rnacentral:lncRNA from 1 species